rnacentral:rRNA from 1 species
GACGAACGCUGGCGGCGUGCUUAACACAUGCAAGUCGAACGGAAAGGCCCUGCUUUUGUGGGGUGCUCGAGUGGCGAACGGGUGAGUAACACGUGAGUAACCUGCCCUUGACUUUGGGAUAACUUCAGGAAACUGGGGCUAAUACCGGAUAGGAGCUCCUGCUGCAUGGUGGGGGUUGGAAAGUUUCGGCGGUUGGGGAUGGACUCGCGGCUUAUCAGCUUGUUGGUGGGGUAGGGGCUUACCAAGGCUUUGACGGGUAGCCGGCCUGAGGGGGUGACCGGCCACAUUGGGACUGAGAUACGGCCCAGACUCCUACGGGAGGCAGCAGUGGGGAAUAUUGCACAAUGGGCGGAAGCCUGAUGCAGCAACGCCGCGUGCGGGAUGACGGCCUUCGGGUUGUAAACCGCUUUCGCCUGUGACGAAGCGUGAGUGACGGUAAUGGGUAAAGAAGCACCGGCUAACUACGUG